AUCCAUAUUCAUAUUCACUGAAUUUUGAUUAUGAAGCUCAGUUUAAUAUAACACAUUGAAUGCAGGUGAGGAGGCUUUCUGCCUGUGAGAGACGAUGGGAUCAGCCACAACUAUUUAGAGCGAUAAGACCGGAACAUUGACAAUGAAUCAGGGUUGAUGGAAAUACCGGGCUUCACAAUUGCAAGUCAUCCAGAAUCACCAAUUGUUUAUUUGAGAUUAAAGAAGUCAAUGGGUUCUUUGAAUAAUGACAUACAUCUGCUUGAAAGUAUUGCCGAGCAUGUUUUGAAAGAAGACAUGAUUCCGCUUAUAAAAAUAUUUUGAUUGUAUCGUUUCUGCAUAUGAGAUCGCGAAGCUGUUUCCGAACCUGUUUGGUCAACCGUCAGCGAUGACAUUUGACAGAUUUGGCACUUGGUUGUUUGAAGAAUUUCUUUCACAUGCCCGAAAUUUGGAUUAUUAUGGAAGUACAUUACAAUAUCACAUUACUUUUAGCUUUCAAAGCAACCAAAACAAGAAGGGUUUCUUAUAUAUAAAAUUGAAAUGCAUCUAUAUUAAUGUCUCUUUCAAAAUUAACCGCAGAUUAUGCAGCUGACAAGGCUUCGUCGACCAUGAAGAUAAUAGUACAUAGAAAUUGAGGGGAGAAAAUUGGCAGUGGGCAUGAUGUCUGGCCGGUUGCUAUUCACGGGCAUUAUGCUUAUGCAAGUGACUCUGUUGCUCUUCUUUCCGGUGCUUUGAAUGUACCGAUGAUUUUUACCGGCUACUCUCUUGGUAAAUACACGCCUUGCAUGUCAGUAAUGUACUGGGUCACUAUUGAACUUUCUAGCAAUGCCUUAACAGACUUUUUGUUAUGGACCAAAUUAGUUAGUCUUUAUUUUGAACUAAAAGUAAUUUACAGCAAGCUAGAGGUAAAAUAUCAUUUUGAUAUUGAUAUACAUUAGCAAUUUGUAUUGACAUAUAAUAAGUUCAUUUUUCUCUUUUGGUUACUUAUUACAGAAUCUCUUUUUAACGUGACACUU